CCUACGGGAGGCAGCAGUGAGGAAUAUUGGUCAAUGGACGAGAGUCUGAACCAGCCAAGUAGCGUGAAGGAUGACUGCCCUAUGGGUUGUAAACUUCUUUUAUAUGGGAAUAAAAUGUUCCACGUGUGGGAUUUUGUAUGUACCAUAUGAAUAAGGAUCGGCUAACUCCGUGCCAGCAGCCGCGGUAAUACGGAGGAUCCGAGCGUUAUCCGGAUUUAUUGGGUUUAAAGGGAGCGUAGGUGGAUUGUUAAGUCAGUUGUGAAAGUUUGGGGCUCAACCGUAAAAUGGCAGUUGAAACUGGCAGUCUUGAGUACAGGAGAGGUGGGCGGAAUGCGUGGUGUAGCGGUGAAAUGCUUAGAUAUCACGAAGAACUCCGAUUGCGAAGGCAGUUCACUGGACUGCAACUGACACUGAGGCUCGAAAGUGUGGGUAUCAAACAGGAUUAGAUACCCCAGUAGUC
rnacentral:rRNA from 1 species